rnacentral:rRNA from 1 species
AGAAUCAACGCUGGCGGCGUGCCUCAGACAUGCAAGUCGAACGCGAAAGCCCCCUUCGGGGGGCAAGUAGAGUGGCGCACGGGUGAGUAACACGUAGGUAAUCUACCUUCGGAUGGGGAAUAACAAUCGGAAACGAUUGCUAAUACCGCAUAAUGCAGCGGCACCUAAUGGUGACAGUUGUAAAGCGGGGGAUCGAAAGACCUCGCGUCUGAAGAGGAGCCUGCGGCGGAUUAGCUAGUGGUAAGUAAUGGCUUACAAGGCAACGAUCC